UCUUUAUCAUUCUCUCUGCUUUUCCAAUCGUCUCUCUCUCUCAAAUUUUGACUUUACCAUUUCAGUUACCAGAGUUCCUCACCACAAAAGAGCAUUGGAGAAGGAGAAAGUGUACAUAUAAGGUUCAAGAACCAGUUCUCUUUAUCUUCACCAGAAAUAAUCGUUAAAGACAGAAGAGAUGGAAAGCUCUUGGCCCAUCGCUGCCGAGCUCUAGCCCGUGGCCUUCGUCACCUCAUCUUAUCUACAUCUCUCUUCUACUCACGAACACCCUCGUCACCUCCUCGCCACAGUUCCUCCUCUCCUCGUCUCCUCCUGUGAGUUUUUGCGGCAGAAGAAGAUGAUACGGUGGUCGAUGGAUUUGCUAGAAGAAGACUAAGAAGAUUUGUGGUAGAUGUGGUGGUCGUUGGAUUCACGUCACACGACUUGAGGUUGGAAGAGGAAGAAGAAGAUCUGAGAUCUGGUGAGGUCGAGGACGCGGCUUGAAGCUUCAAGAUUAGAUUUAGUUUUUUUUUCUGGUUUUACUUUUUUUUUUUAAAUUCUGGUUUAGUUUGUAAACCGGAUUUAAUUGUAAAACGUUUUAUAAAAUUAGUUACAAUGAACUGCGAGGAAAUUUAAAA